CCUGGCUCAGGAUGAACGCUGGCGGCGUGCCUAAUACAUGCNAGUCGAACGAAUCUUCUUCGGAAGAUGAGUGGCGAACGGGUGAGUAAUACAUAGGUAACCUGCCCCUGUGCGGGGGAUAACAGGAGGAAACUCCUGCUAAUACCGCAUAGCCAUGAGCACCGCAUGGAGCUCAUGCCAAAUAUCCUUUAUGGGAUAGCGCAGGGAUGGACCUAUGGCGCAUUAGCUUGUUGGCGGGGCAACGGCCCACCAAGGCAACGAUGCGUAGCCGGCCUGAGAGGGCGGACGGCCACAUUGGGACUGAGACACGGCCCAGACUCCUACGGGAGGCAGCAGUAGGGAAUUUUCGGCAAUGGGGGAAACCCUG
rnacentral:rRNA from 1 species